rnacentral:rRNA from 1 species
CCCUUAGAUGUCCUGGGCCGCACGCGCGUUACACUGCUGCAUUCAACGAGCUUAUAACCUUGGCCGAGAGGCCUGGGCAAUCUUGUUAACGUGCAUCGUGAUAGGGAUAGAUUAUUGAAAUUAUUAAUCUUGAACGAGGAAUUCCUAGUAAACGCAGAUCAUCAAUCUGCAUUGAUUACGUCCCUGCCCUUUGUACACACCGCCCGUCGCACCUACCGAUUGGAUGGUCCGGUGAAGCCUCGGGAUUGUGGUUCUUGCCGCUUUAUUGUGGCGUGACCGCGAGAACUUGUCUAAACCUUAUCAUCUGGAGGAAGGUGAAGUCGUAACA